UGUUAGAAGACUAGAUCUCCUUCAUCACAUCAUCACCCAUUCUUUGAAAAUUUGGGAUGCCAAAUUGGUAGUUGGCAUGGUGAAUAUUGGAGCCCCCCUUUUACCCAAAACCCUAGUCCCUUCUUAUUUAAAGGGGGCUCCAAUAGUGGAUGCCCCAUGUGAUAUUACUUACAGAUUUUAUUUUUUCUCCAGAGCUCUCUCUUCUC
rnacentral:lncRNA from 1 species